rnacentral:rRNA from 1 species
UAGGGAAUCUUCCGCAAUGGGCGAAAGCUUGACGGAGCAACGCCGCGUGAGUGAUGAAGGUCUUCGGAUCGUAAAACUCUGUUAUUAGGGAAGAACAAAUGUGUAAGUAACUAUGCACGUCUUGACGGUACCUAAUCAGAAAGCCACGGCUAACUACGUGCCAGCAGCCGCGGUAAUACGUAGGUGGCAAGCGUUAUCCGGAAUUAUUGGGCGUAAAGCGCGCGUAGGCGGUUUUUUAAGUCUGAUGUGAAAGCCCACGGCUCAACCGUGGAGGGUCAUUGGAAACUGGAAAACUUGAGUGCAGAAGAGGAAAGUGGAAUUCCAUGUGUAGCGGUGAAAUGCGCAGAGAUAUGGAGGAACACCAGUGGCGAAGGCGACUUUCUGGUCUGUAACUGACGCUGAGGUUCGAAAGCGUGGGUAGCAAACAGG